rnacentral:tRNA from 1 species
CAAAAUGUAGCUUACUAAAGCCUUUCGCUUACACCGAAAAAACAUCUUGUGCAACCCAGAUCAAUUUGG